GAUGAACGCUAGCUACAGGCUUAACACAUGCAAGUCGAGGGGAAACGACAUCGAAAGCUUGCUUUUGAUGGGCGUCGACCGGCGCACGGGUGAGUAACGCGUAUCCAACCUGCCCAUCACUUGGGAAUAACCUUGCGAAAGUAAGACUAAUACCCAAUGACAUCCCACGAAGACAUCUGAAUGGGAUUAAAGAUUUAUCGGUGAUGGAUGGGGAUGCGUCUGAUUAGCUUGUUGGCGGGGUAACGGCCCACCAAGGCAACGAUCAGUAGGGGUUCUGAGAGGAAGGUCCCCCACAUUGGAACUGAGACACGGUCCAAACUCCUACGGGAGGCAGCAGUGAGGAAUAUUGGUCAAUGGGCGAGAGCCUGAACCAGCCAAGUAGCGUGCAGGAUGACGGCCCUGUGGGUUGUAAACUGCUUUUAUAAGGGAAUAAAGUGGGUCUCGUGAGACUUUUUGCAUGUACCUUAUGAAUAAGGACCGGCUAAUUCCGUG
rnacentral:rRNA from 1 species